GACGAACGCUGGUGGCGUGCCUAAUACAUGCAAGUAGAACGCUGAAGGAGGAGCUUGCUCUUCUGGAUGAGUUGCGAACGGGUGAGUAACGCGUAGGUAACUUGCCUGGUAGCGGGGGAUAACUAUUGGAAACGAUAGCUAAUACCGCAUAAUAGCAGUUGUUGCAUGACAACUGUUUAAAAGGUGCAAUUGCACCACUACCAGAUGGACCUGCGUUGUAUUAGCUAGUUGGUGGGGUAACGGCUCACCAAGGCGACGAUACAUAGCCGACCUGAGAGGGUGAUCGGCCACACUGGGGCUGAGACACGGCCCAG
rnacentral:rRNA from 1 species